ACGCUGCCAGCCUUAUGUUUCGCUGCGCGCACUGGACGGCGAUAUUGGAAGGCCCUGCAUGCUUGCCACCCAGUGCAGCGCCUCGACGUCUGGAUUCGAACUCUUCCAGCGGCAGCGUGCAGCGACCGUUCAUGGCGAGGCAGACGACGCAGCCGUCAUAUUCGCACCGGAAGAACAGUGAGCCGGUGGCCGCCUGGAUUCGUACAUAAGGAAGGCGCCAGUUGCACGUGUACAACGACAUGGACUUCCUUAUGUCGCAUUCCACCGGCAGAUUCACCAAUUGCCUACAACGAGAUGGACUUCUUAGUUUUCAGCAAUUCUUUCUGCUGCUAUUAGUACUACGAGUGUACUGGUCUUAAAGCCCAGAGGAGCGUGUCGCGUGAGAAGAGGUGCUAAUGAUAAAAAAACUCAAUGCGUUGCUUUCCAGAGAUAAUGACCAGCAGUUCCUUGCUUCAUUGAGGAAACUGAGGCUGUGAGAGCACCGAUGGGCUGCUUGGUCCGUGGUCCUAUGGGAGAUCGUGUUGCAAAAUUGGAGCGUUUCUUGACAAGAGAAAAGAACUGAAGAGAUGGCAACGCGUGGCAAGACGCACCACCUACGACAUGGUGAUCCCCCUCCCAUCGAGAACCGCCAUGUAGUUUUCUCUGCCAAGGUUACUAGCCAGUUUUGUAGCCGCCAAGGGCAGUCAUUACUAUUAUCUGGUGGUUAGGUUGUCCAUCUUGGAAGUAGGUAUACUGCAUGUUCUUUUUUUCGAAAAGGGGGGUACGCCCCAGCCUCUGCAUCAGAAUGAUGCAUGCAGCCAAUAUUAUUAAUAAGAAAAAUAUCCAA